AACAAGGCGUACCUGCGGACCUGCGGAAGGAUCAUUACAAGUGACCCCGGUCUAACCACCGGGAUGUUCAUAACCCUUUGUUGUCCGACUCUGUUGCCUCCGGGGCGACCCUGCCUUCGGGCGGGGGCUCCGGGUGGACACUUCAAACUCUUGCGUAACUUUGCAGUCUGAGUGAACUUAAUUAAUAAAUUAAAACUUUUAACAACGGAUCU
rnacentral:misc_RNA from 1 species